UACGAAGGGGGCUAGCGUUGUUCGGAAUUACUGGGCGUAAAGCGCGCGCAGGCGGUCUUGUAAGUCAGAGGUGAAAUCCCUGGGCUCAACCCAGGAACUGCCUUUGAGACUGCGAGGCUUGAGGACGGGAGAGGUUAGUGGAAUUCCCAGUGUAGAGGUGAAAUUCGUAGAUAUUGGGAAGAACACCAGUGGCGAAGGCGGCUCACUGGCCCGUUUCUGACGCUGAGGCGCGAAAGCGUGGGGAGCAAACAGGAUUAGAAACCCUUGUAGU
rnacentral:rRNA from 1 species